rnacentral:rRNA from 1 species
UCAAGAUACUAAGAGCACACGGUGGAUGCCUUGGCACCAGAAGCCGAUGAAGGACGUGGACGGCUGCGAUAAGCCGCGGUGAGGCGCUGAACAGCCUUCGACCCGCGGAUCUCCGAAUGGGGCAACCCGGCCAGAGUAAUGUCUGGUCAUCCUCAGCUGAAUAUAUAGGCUGAGAGAAGGUAAGCGGGCGAACUGAUACAUCUAAGUAGCCCGAGGAAAGGAAAGAAACAUCGACUCCCUGAGUAGCGGCGAGCGAAACGGGAUGAGCCCAAACCGUAUCUGCGCGAUUGCGUGCAGGCUUAUCAGGUACGGUGUUGUAGGGCUGGUUUUGGAUCGGCUGCAUCCGAUCCGGGAAGUUACAAAAGACUGAUAUAGCCGAACCGGUUGGGACGCCGGGCCACAGGGGGUUAGAGCCCCGUAGGCGAAAUGUCGGUCUCUUCCUUAACCAGUUCCUGAGUACUACCGGACACGUGAAAUCCGGUAGGAACCUGCGGGGACCACCUCCGCAAGGCUAAGUACUAACUGGUGACCGAUAGUGGACUAGUACCGUGAGGGAAAGGUGAAAAGCACCCCGGGAGGGGAGUGAAAUAGAACCUGAAACCGUGUGCUUACAAGCGGUCGGAGCAGUCCUUGUGGCUGUGACGGCGUGCUUUUUGCAUAACGAGCCAGCGAGUUAUGGUAUGCGGCAAGGUUAAGCGAGAGCGGAGCCGUAGCGAAAGCGAGUCUGAAUAGGGCGCUUUAGUCGCAUGCUGUAGACCCGAAGCCGGGUGAUCUAUCCAUGGGCAGGGUGAAACGAGGGUAAGACCUCGUGAAGGCCCGAACCCACCUCGGUUGAAAACGGGGGGGAUGACCUGUGGAUCGGAGUGAAAGGCUAAUCAAACCCGGAGAUAUCUGGUUCUCGCCGAAAUAUAUUUAGGUAUAGCCUCGCGUGUUUACUCGCGGUUGUAGAGCACUGUUUGGGCUAGGGGCCCCCUAAAGGUUACCGACCUCAGACAAACUCCGAAUGCCGCCAGUCCAGAGCGCGGGAGUCAGGCUGCGGGGGCUAAGCUCCGUAGCCGAGAGGGAAACAACCCAGACCAUCAGCUAAGGUCCCUAAAUCGUGGCUAAGUGGGAAAGGAUGUGCGAGUGCACAGACAACCAGGAGGUUGGCUUAGAAGCAGCCAUCCUUGAAAGAGUGCGUAAUAGCUCACUGGUCAAGUGUUCAUGCGCCGAUAAUCCAACGGGGCUCAAGUCACGUACCGAAGCUAUGGGAUCCACGCGAUUUCGGUCGCUGGAUCGGUAGGCGAGCGUUCCCAUGCCGGUGAAGCGGCGGCGUAAGCCAGCCGUGGAGGCGUGGGAAGUGAGAAUGCUGGCAUGAGUAACGAAAGGCGAGUGCGAAACUCGCCCGCCGAAUGCCCAAGGUUUCCUGAGCAAUGUUAAUCAGCUCAGGGUUAGCCGGGUCCUAAGCCGAGGCCGAGAGGCGUAGGCGAUGGAGAACUGGUCAACAUUCCAGUGCCACCACCAAGCGUUUGAGCAAUGGGGUGACGCGGAAAGGUAAGCGGACCGUGGCGUUGGUUGACCACGGACAAGCGUAUAGGGCGGUCCCCAGGGAAAUCCGGGGACCAAUUAAGCCUGAGGCGUGACGUCAGCUGGCUUCUGCCGGCAAGCCGCCGAUCCUAUGCCGCCAAGAAAAACCUCUAGCGAGCUUAGGUGUGUGCCCGUACCAAAACCGACACAGGUGGGCAGGUAGAGAAUACCAAGGCGAUCGGGAGAACUAUGGCUAAGGAACUCGGCAAAAUAGCUCCGUAACUUCGGGAGAAGGAGCGCCUCGUUAGGGUGAUCGAAUUGACUUCAGAAGCCCGAGGAGGCCGCAGUGAUCAGGCCCAAGCGACUGUUUACCAAAAACACAGGUCUCUGCUAAGUCGAAAGACGAUGUAUAGGGGCUGACGCCUGCCCGGUGCCGGAAGGUUAAGUGGAGGUGUUAGCCGCAAGGCGAAGCAUUGAAAUUAAGCCCCGGUAAACGGCGGCCGUAACUAUAACGGUCCUAAGGUAGCGAAAUUCCUUGUCGGGUAAGUUCCGACCUGC